AUACUUACCUGGCAGGGGAGAUACCAUGAUCACGAAGGUGGUUUUCCCAGGGCGAGGCUUAUCGAUUGCACUCCGGAUGUGCUAACACCUGAGAUUUCCCCAAAUGCGGGAAACUCGACUGCAUAAUUUGUGGUAGUGGGGGACUGUGUUUGCACUCUCCCCUG
rnacentral:snRNA from 1 species